AACUUUGUAUAUUCCUUAUUGUUUGUAAUUUGUUCCAGCUUGAAGCGGUCUACAAACCCAAGUAUGUUAACUUUCUUGGAGUGAUUGUCCAAGGAUUCAGACCAGGGUCAAUCAUCACGAUAACACAACUAGUGUUCAGCCUCAGCCAAUCUUUACCAUCCAGAAAAGAGAUUGCAGACACCCUUUUGACAGCAGCAGAAACGGGAAAUGUUGAUGCAUUGAACAUCAUUUCCCAGACAAUUUCUGUCAAUGGUUCCACUUUUGCUGCAACGGCUGCUCCGGCUACAGCGGCUGCAGCUUCAAGUGCAUCGAAGAUCGAGUCGCAUCUGCUACAAGCAACAGGCCUCAUUAUUAUGGGGAAAAUAUUACGACUUUUCCUAUAGAUCCUUUAAUCAUAUAUCAACCACACGUGAGAGUUCAGCAAGG